AACAGAAGCUUAGUUAAUGUAGGUCAAUAAUAUUCUUAUCGAGGAAAGCAUAAGAAUAGUGAAAACAACCAUUCUGCUUUCUUGGAGAAUGACACUUCAACCAAACAUUAAUUAUUUCUAGUACCGUUAGUUUUCAUGAGAGUACGUUAAAACAUAAUGUAAUGGAGAAAUUGAUGCCUAGGUUGGUUCUAAAAGCAACAAUCAUCACCGCAACAUGCUUUCCCACAGCGAAGCUUGAAAGGUUUCCCAACAAAAAAGCAGCAGCGACAGCCUGCAAAUAUCAUAAAUAUCAUGACCUUAAAAACUUGCAGAAGCAUUAGCAUUCAUAUUGACAUUAUAAGCAAGCAAAAGGACUAUAGCUUGGGGAUUAAAAACUUGCUCAAAUGUUCCCAGACGAGCACCGGCAGUCGCAUUUGCAAACAAACUAAUGGAUAACACGACUAAAAGCCACAUGAGACAAGUCAAAAUGGUUUGCCUUCUUGCCAUAGUCUCUUUUUUCUAGCUCGAAUUUGAUGACCAAGUACUUAAGCAUGCCAG
rnacentral:lncRNA from 1 species